UACAGAGGGGGCAAGCGUUGUUCGGAAUUACUGGGCGUAAAGGGCGCGUAGGCGGCCUUCUAAGUCGAACGUGAAAUCCCCAGGCUCAACCUGGGAACUGCGUCUGAUACUGGAUGGCUUGAAUCCGGGAGAGGGAUGCAGAAUUCCAGGUGUAGCGGUGAAAUGCGUAGAUAUCUGGAGGAAUACCGGUGGCGAAGGCGGCAUCCUGGACCGGCAUUGACGCUGAGGAGCGAAAGCCAGGGGAGCAAAGCGGG
rnacentral:rRNA from 1 species